GCUAUUUUGGCAGAUUAAAAUGCAUUAGGUUUAGGACCUAAUUAUAUAGUGAAUUCUAUAAAUAGUA
rnacentral:tRNA from 1 species